UACAGAGGGGGCGAGCGUUGUUCGGAAUUACUGGGCGUAAAGGGCGCGUAGGCGGCCAACUAAGUCAGACGUGAAAUCCCUCGGCUCAACCGGGGAACUGCGUCUGAUACUGGAUGGCUUGAAUUCGGGAGAGGGAUGCGGAAUUCCAGGUGGAGCGGUGAAAUGCGUAGAUAUCGCUUGGAACGCCAAAGGUGAAGACAGGUCGCUGGGGGGUGUGCCGACGGCUGAGGACGCGAAAGCCAGGGGAGCAAACGGGG
rnacentral:rRNA from 1 species